rnacentral:lncRNA from 1 species
UCAAGCUGCUCCUUUGAGAGAAGGAUAUUAAGGAAGCAGAGGAAUGUGAGGUGAAAAAAACAUAUUUAACAAAAUUAUAGAAGAAAAUUAUCCCAACCUAAAGAAGGGCAUGCCUAUGAAAGUACAAGAAGUUUACCAAACACCAAAUAGACUGGACCAAAAAAAACACUCCACUGACUUCUCCAUGGUUUUGUAAGCAGUAAGGAUGGAAGAGAAUAAUCUCACUCUGAUCUGCAUGGAAGACUACUAGCCAGCUGCCAAACCAGUCCAACUAUCUGGAGGAGGCACAGACCAGCAGAGCUGCCUAAGAGACACACUCUCCAACUUGUUGAGCUCUUGUUCCCAAACUACUGUCUCAAAUCAUAUGUUUAAAUACAAAUCAUGCUCUGAGUAAAAAUGUACAUCAAAAAUGCAGUUAAGAUUUUUGUUAUCAAUUCUCAUUAUUUAACUGACGUAUCAAACAGCUAAUAUACUUUAAAUUUUAUAUAGAAAUAUACAGUAUCUU